GGAAUAAAAACGGACGCGGCCUAGCUGUUCAUCUUGUUACGGCAUUAUUUGCAAGGAGACCAGGGUCAAGAUUCUCAUGCGGAUCAUGUCCCCGUCCGUCUCCGUCCCUAGUGGGUUGUUGCUGCUGCUGGUGGUGGUGGUGCAUCAGUGCAUUGCAUUACCUCUUGCCCAGGGCACCCAAUGCCUACCCAGCUACCUGCUCAUCUCACCAUCAUCCAUGUGCUGUUUUGUUUUCGCGCUAGUACUUG
rnacentral:lncRNA from 1 species